GAAGAGCAGUCAGUGCUCUUAACUGCUGAGCCAUCUCUCCAGCCCCCUUCUUCCUUUCUCAUUGGGUCACUGGGGAAAGACCUUGGCAUGUAUUAAAUGCCUUGAGUGGUCAAUCUGCGGAUGUGGCUGAAGGAGUGGCUGUUAAACUUUAGACUCUUUCAUUUUUCUUUUAAUGAGCAAGGUGGGCCUGGAUGGAGGAGAGAUAAUUACAGGCUUGCUUGCACCUUUGUGUUAAUGGCCACUGAAGAACUUCAGAAGCACUCACCAAUUGAGCGCUGAUCCAAUCUCAUGUACGGGAUACUCCUCAGGUCUUUUCUUUUCUAACUUUCUGGCUUUCAUUUCUGUUGGCAGAAGGCGGCUCCAGGGCCCCACUAUUCUGCAAUAAAAGCAGGAGCUAUUGCCCAGGCUCUGUGUUCGUAGCCAGCAGUGGGGACCUGGAGGCUAGUGACCGCAGCCACCUGAACCUGUUCCCUAGGGUGGCCACGAGGUCUCCAGGAAGUGCAGGUGGGAGUUUCCAAAAUGAUACAUGCACCGUUUCUGAGUGUCUCUGACUUGCGAGGAAUAAACAGCUGCGUUCUCCCUGAAUAGGCCCUUACUUGGAGCUCAUGUCCGUCUGUCCAACCAAUCUAUCCCCUUCCGCCCCCCUACCCUCCGCACCCCCCACCCCAGUCACUGAGGCCAAGUGACCUAAAGUGCCAAGUCCAGCAGCUCCUCCAUUGUCCCUGCUUCCCGCUCUCCAGAGAGGAGGUGUGGAGUCUCCUGCUUAGGCUGAUGUCCCUGCCUGGGUGCCUUUCACUUUGUCCUGGGCCUGGGUCUGGAAGGCUCCACUCCCUGCUCCUGUCCCCAUAACCCCCCCCCCCCCCCGCCCCCUUAGCUUUUUCUCCACUGAUGCUGCAUUUAAGUGUGAGUCACUACUGAGCAGCUCCUUCAAGGGCCCGAGCUGACCGGCAGCCCUACUGGGAGGAGGUGCCACGGAAUACACCUCCCAGCGUUUGUUGGCCACAAAUGCAGGGUGGGAAAUUAAGACUUUAAAUUGCCAUAAUUUGGGUGCUGAUUGUCCCUUCCACCAGGUGGCCUGGGUAUUGAUGGUUUGGCCUCUGUAGUGACGCUGUGUCUCUGUGAGGUAGGAUCUCAUGAGAGGUCUGUAGGUCAUCACUGGAGACCCUUUAUUAAAGGGGAAGUGUUUGGUCAAGAAACCUCCAAGACCCAGAGCCAAAUCAACACUUUUCUCUUGAUAAGUUGAUCAUCUCAGGUGUUACUGCAGCAGAAGGUUGCCUAACAUACGUAACUCAUAAUUUUCUAUGUCCAAGGAUAUAUUUCCUUGCUCAGAUCCUGCGUGUCUUCCAUCGGUAUCCAGUGAACCUUUGCUCAGAAAUAAUUGAAUUACAAGUGGAUACCAAGAUUACCAGGAAAAUGUACAUUAAAAUGUACAUUAAAAUAUACACUAAAAACUAGUCUGUCACCAAACUGUUAAAUUUUGUGAAAUAAGAUGAAAGAUGCCUAGGUACUUCAUGCCCAAGACCCCUCAGGCUUUCCAUUCCUUCUGGUCACCAUUGAGACUAUCUCAACCCCAGGAAAUCAUAUACCCCUGUGAGGUUAGGGGUGCGAUCUUCAUGUCACUUAGGACACCAGGGGCAGUCCCAGCACUAGUGCAGAACCAGCUCUUGGUGUUCACAUUCUCUGCAUUGUUCUGCUGCUGAUAAUAACAAAGCUGGCAUUGAGAUGAGGAGUCAGUGUGCUUUACUGACUCCGUGCUGUCAGGUGACCUGCUCCGAGGCUGGCCUUCCUGAUUCUUGAGGCUGACCGACUCUCUGUAGACUCUGCUGGCUCUACUUGAGUCGUAGGGUUCAAUCUGUUCCCUGUCUUUGAGCAAACUGGUCCUAUCUGAGCUGAGUACCUAAGCUGGGUUUUGUCAGCUUAAUACAAACUGGGUCAGCUGGAAAGAUGGAGACGGUCAAGAAGAUGUCUGCAUCAAAUAGGCCUGAGGGCAAGACUGUAGAGUGUUGUCUUGAGUAACGGUUGAUUUGGGAGGGUCUAGCCCAUUGUGGGCGGUGCUAUCCCUAGACUGGUGGUCCUGGAUUCUACAGGAAAGCAGGCUGAGCAAGCUAUGGGGAGCAAGCCAGUAAAUAGCACCCCUCCAUGGUCUCUGCAUUAGCUCCUGUCUCCCAGUUCACACUUGAAGUUCCUGCCCUGACUUGCCUCAGUGAUGGACUGUGGCCUGAGACAUGUAGGCCAGACAAAGCCUUAUCUAUCCACAUUGCUUCAGUUACAGUGUUUCUCAUAGCAAUAGAAGCAAGCUAGGAGAGUUACUGCCACUCUUCUUUUAUGAUAGGGUCUUGUGUGGCCUAGGCUGGUCUUGAACUCACUGUACAGCCAAGCAAGGAUUAUCUUGAAUUUCUGGUCUUCUACCUCCAGCGAUGGGGUUGCAAGUGUGCACAGCCCCACCUGGUUACAAGGUGUUGGGGAAUCAAACCCAGGACCUCCUAUGUUCUAGGUAAGGACUCUACUGGCUUAGCUACACCCCCAGCCCCAGUACACUGUGAUAGUUUCUGUUGUUUGCCAGCCAGAUCCAUUGUCUCCAAAGAGUGACAAACUGUCCCUUCUUUUCCCAAGAUGGGGUGCCCCACUUCCUCCCAAGAAUAUUAUCUUUUAAUUCUUUCAGUUAUCCAAACAGGAAAGCUCUGUGUAGCAGUUCAGGUUUUGCACUUAACUUUUAUUUGAGGGUUAGGAAUUUAGGCCCCUUUAACACUAGGGUCCCACAUCUCUUCAAGGAAUUGAGGUGCUAUUAAAAAAACUUGAUUAACAUUGGAUUAAAUGUAUCAGGGUAUAUUUGAGGGAAAUAAGAAUUGGGGUGGGGGGAGCCAGAAGGAUUGUUGACAGUGUUAGAUGGGUUUGCUCUGGCUGAUGUCAUACUGGUGAGGCCUUGACAUGUCUGAGCCCCCCCCCCCCACCCUUAUGAGAGUGUAGUUUCUAUGGGGUAUGAGUUGAUUUUUCUUUUCUUAGGGACUGAUGAUGGGACUUAGGGCCUAGAGCAUGCUAGGGCACCACUAUCACUGAGUCACACCGCAGCUAUUGAGUGUGCUUUGUCACAUCAGAGAAGCCACAGGGGAAAUUCGUUCCAAACCCGAACAGAGCUUUGGGGUAGUUUCAACCUGAGCAUCCCCUGGGGAGGGGGUGAGCUCCCAUUUCUAAAGCUCCAUGACAACCAACAGAGGAUUAAAGAAAUCCAUAGCUGUCAGAAUUCUGCGCUGACAAGCCCAGGCAAACACACCAUCCUCGCUUCUGUAACUGGGGUGAGGCAGCUGUGCUGUGGAGAGUCGGGAGGAGAAGAGGGUUUCCUCAGGCUGAUGUCACAGUCCAGAACUUAGGGAAGCAAAGAAUGGCCUUUCCUGGGAUGUCAAAAGGUCAGCAAAAGACCCAGAGAGCCCUAUCCAUGGGCUGUCCCAGCUGGGCAUAGUCGAGUGGAGAACGAACCUCCAGUUACAUAAAUGGGUGCCGUGUGGCCCCUGAGCUCAGCUUUGCCUCUACACAAAGGCAAAUCUCCCUCCAUCAGGACUUGGCUCUGCACGAUGUUCUCAGAAUUCUGUGCUCACAUGGCUCCAGCAUACUCCAAAACCAAGGGAAGAAAAGAAAAAGCUAAAAGGGGUACUUUUUGCCACCCAUCCAUCUUUCCCCCUUUGUUCUACAGUGAUGAAUCAGCCAUGACAAAUGUCACACAGUGUGUCCCCUGGGAGAGGAGAAUCCUGUGCCCUUAUUCUGUGCAAAUGAAGUCAUUGUGAGUCACACUUCAAACCAUCCCUCAGUUAAGUUUUAUCCUCUCCCCAGAAUGGUGCAAUAGAAGAAAAGUCUCUACUUUGGAAGGACCCCAUCCUUAAGGCUAUCAAAUGGCCCCAGGGACUAGGACACUCACACCGGGAUAAUUCUUACUGCUGGCCACAUACUGCUCAUCCUGUCACAAUUCCAUCAGCGACACACCUCCUUUGUUAAGGAAUGUCACUGCCUCACCUCAUGCAGUAACCAUGGCUGAUGUGCAGAGUUUAUUUGCUACAUGCUAGUUUAUUCCAUGUACUUAGAGGUAGGUCAUUGGAGAGGUGCUUAGUAACUUAUGCAAAUGAGCAUACUUAAUUAUGUCAAAACGUGAUGAUGUCUAUUUUUUUCCAAAUUUCCCCCAAAUCAGUAUCUUGUAAGCUAUUCAUCAUAGGGAUCCAUCAGUUUACCAAUGUGAAAACACCUACAGUGUGCUAAGAGUUUAUUUAAUUUUAUGGGUGUGAAUGCACUGUGGACACAUAUGUCUGUGCACAUAUGUCUGUAUGCCUCUUGUUUCAGCCUCUCCAUGGCCACACUCUGAGGCCAUGGUGAAAGAAUACCUCUGCUGGAUCUUUACGUGGAGCUCCAAAGCUGUGCUCAUUAGCAAGUGCAUUACAGCUGGAUUGCUGAUAGCAAUUACGAGGGGGGAAAACAAUAAUUAAGCAAACAGAGCCAUGGAAGAUGAGAUACGCCAUGGGAAUUGACAUUCUUGGAUACUCUCCUGGAUACUGGACCUUCCCCCACCUCUGCUCUGUUUGCCUAAUCCCUGCCAAUCUUGGUUUCCUCUGGCAUAGCCCGAGUGCAGAUACUGGGGGAUUUAGGAGAGAGCCAAGGAUGCCACCUUUGAAGUCCUUCUCAUUGAAGCAGAUGGGAUAAUCUAUUCAAAAGAAGGAGAGACCUGAUACCGGGCACCAGGGUCUAAUGCAAAUGCUAACAGUUCAGAGCACAGAGCAGGCAGGCUGGCAGCACCUGCUCUGACUACAGAGAGUAGCAGGCAGAGAACUUGUGUGUUGGUCUUGUCCCUGUUGGGAGAAGAGGAGCAUUCAGUAGUGUCUUAGUUAGGGUUUUACUGCUGUGAACAGACACCAUGAACAAGGCAAGUCUUAUAAAAACAGCAUUUAAUUGGGGCUGGCUUGCAGGCUCAGAGAUUCAGUCCAUUAUUAUCAAAGUGGGAACACGGCAGCAUCCAGGCAGGCAUGGUGCAGGAGGAGCUGAGAGUUCUACACCUUCAUGUGAAGACUGCCAGCAGAAUACUGACUCCCAGACAGUUAGGAUGAGGGUCUUAAAUCCCACAUCCACAGUGACACACCUACUCCAACAAGGCCACACUUCUCAACAGUGCCACUCCCUAGGCCAAGCAUAUACAAACCAUCACAAGUAGAGAAAAUGAAGAAAGUAUAGCUAUUGAGGUACAAGAGAAACCAGAAAAAGAAUAAACAAAAGGAGUGGGGUUGCUGUUCAUGGAGGCAGGGAAGGAACACUCGCAUCAGUGGUGGGACUAGGUAAAGGAAGGAGAAGGGACAAGAAUAGGUCGUUAGCUUCAGAUGUGGUGGCCAUCCACAGGGACUUUACAUGAAGUGAGGAGUGGGCCAAAGCCUGAAAGGAAAGGUGGGGUAAAGUAAAGAGGAAAGAAACACUCUAAAUCAGAACUGAAGGAUGGGGUGGAUAGAGUUUGGGGCAAAUGUACCUGAAGAUCCAGAUGUUAAAGGUCCAGAUGUUAGAUACAGUUGGAAGAUGGUAGAACCUUUAAGGGGUGGGGCCUAGUGAGCAGAUUGUGAGGCUCCACCCCCUUUCGCUUUCUCUCUUUUUUAUUGGGCAGAAAGUGAGUAGUUCCACCAUCUUGCCUCCCCUCCAGAUCAAGGACUAGAGCCUAAAACAGUGGAUCAGGACAACCCUCAGGAGUGUAUUAUACCAAUGGCAAGCUGGCUGAUCCAGGACAGCAUUGGCUUAGGGAGGGCUUCUAAAGGACGAGAGACGCUAGAACAUUUAUGAGGUGGGGAAUGAUCCAGAGCUAGGAAAAACCUCAAUGCAGACAGAACGGAGUUGACGGAGCAAAAGCCUUGAACCAGUGAGAGCAGAUGGUGUUCACAACAGAGGUGGAAGUGGUUUUAAUGGGUGUGCAGGGGAAAGAAGGGGGGGAGGGGGCGCAGGUCAGCCUAGCUUUAGUCUCUUUUCUUUUGCCCUCCAUAGAUAGGAGGAAGAUCUUCCUUGGCCUUGAACUCUAUUCUCUUAACCCCACCUCCCAAGUGCUGGGAGAAUUUCAGGCACACACUGUCACAUCCUGCUUCUUUUCGUAUCGACUUAACUUCUUGGGAAAAUGAGAAUGGGAUCAAGUCCCUCAGCUUGCUGGGAGCGUAUUCUUGUGGACCUAGCACCCAGGAGGUGGAGGCAGGAGGGCAGAUGGUCAUGGUCAUCCUCUGCUACCUUGAAAGUUUG
rnacentral:lncRNA from 1 species